rnacentral:rRNA from 1 species
CUCGCGUGUCUAUUACCAGAAGCGACGGCAGGAUGAGGGUCAGACUGAAGAUCUUACCUUACGAGCCGAGAGGUAGUGCAUGGCGAUCGUCAGCUCGUGGUGUGAACUGUCCGGUUAAGUCCGGUAACGAGCGAGACCUUCGCUAACAGUUGCUACUGGCUUAGAGAUAGGCCAGGCACUCUGUUAGGACCGCCUCUGUUUAAAGAGGAGGAAGGAGAGGGCAACGGUACGUCAGUAUGUUCUGAAUCUCCUGGGCUACACGCGGCAUACAAAGGUUGGUACAAUGAGAUGCAAUGCCGAAAGGCAGAGCCAAUCCCCUAAAACCAACCUAGGUUCGGAUUGAGGGCUGAAACUCGCCCUCAUGAAGCUGGAAUCCCUAGUAAUCGCCUGUCACUAUCGAGCGGUGAAUACGUCCCU